CGUUUAGUAUUUGGUCGUAGACCCGAAACCAGGUGAUCUACCCUUGGUCAGGUUGAAGUUCAGGUAACACUGAAUGGAGGACCGAACCGACUUACGUUGAAAAGUGAGCGGAUGAACUGAGGGUAGCGGAGAAAUUCCAAUCGAACCUGGAGAUAGCUGGUUCUCUCCGAAAUAGCUUUAGGGCUAGCCUCAAGUGAUGAUUAUUGGAGGUAGAGCACUGUUUGGACGAGGGGCCCCUCUCGGGUUACCGAAUUCAGACAAACUCCGAAUGCCAAUUAAUUUAACUUGGGAGUCAGAACAUGGGUGAUAAGGUCCGUGUUCGAAAGGGAAACAGCCCAGACCACCAGCUAAGGUCCCAAAAUAUAUGUUAAGUGGAAAAGGAUGUGGCGUUGCCCAGACAACUAGGAUGUUGGCUUAGAAGCAGCCAUCAUUUAAAGAGUGCGUAAUAGCUCACUAGUCGAGUGACACUGCGCCGAAAAUGUACCGGGGCUAAACAUAUUACCGAAGCUGUGGAUUGUCCUUUGGACAAUGGUAGGAGAGCGUUCUAAGGGCGUUGAAGCAUGAUCGUAAGGACAUGUGGAGCGCUUAGAAGUGAGAAUGCCGGUGUGAGUAGCGAAAGACGGGUGAGAAUCCCGUCCACCGAUUGACUAAGGUUUCCAGAGGAAGGCUCGUCCGCUCUGGGUUAGUCGGGUCCUAAGCUGAGGCCGACAGGCGUAGGCGAUGGAUAACAGGUUGAUAUUCCUGUACCACCUAUAAUCGUUUUAAUCGAUGGGGGGACGCAGUAGGAUAGGCGAAGCGUGCGAUUGGAUUGCACGUCUAAGCAGUAAGGCUGAGUAUUAGGCAAAUCCGGUACUCGUUAAGGCUGAGCUGUGAUGGGGAGAAGACAUUGAGUCUUCGAGUCGUUGAUUUCACACUGCCGAGAAAAGCCUCUAGAUAGAAAAUAGGUGCCCGUACCGCAAACCGACACAGGUAGUCAAGAUGAGAAUUCUAAGGUGAGCGAGCGAACUCUCGUUAAGGAACUCGGCAAAAUGACCCCGUAACUUCGGGAGAAGGGGUGCUCUUUAGGGUUAACGCCCAGAAGAGCCGCAGUGAAUAGGCCCAAGCGACUGUUUAUCAAAAACACAGGUCUCUGCUAAACCGUAAGGUGAUGUAUAGGGGCUGACGCCUGCCCGGUGCUGGAAGGUUAAGAGGAGUGGUUAGCUUCUGCGAAGCUACGAAUCGAAGCCCCAGUAAACGGCGGCCGUAACUAUAACGGUCCUAAGGUAGCGAAAUUCCUUGUCGGGUAAGUUCCGACCCGCACGAAAGGCGUAACGAUUUGGGCACUGUCUCAACGAGAGACUCGGUGAAAUCAUAGUACCUGUGAAGAUGCAGGUUACCCGCGACAGGACGGAAAGACCCCGUGGAGCUUUACUGUAGCCUGAUAUUGAAAUUCGGCACAGCUUGUACAGGAUAGGUAGGAGCCUUUGAAACGUGAGCGCUAGCUUACGUGGAGGCGCUGGUGGGAUACUACCCUAGCUGUGUUGGCUUUCUAACCCGCACCACUUAUCGUGGUGGGAGACAGUGUCAGGCGGGCAGUUUGACUGGGGCGGUCGCCUCCUAAAAGGUAACGGAGGCGCUCAAAGGUUCCCUCAGAAUGGUUGGAAAUCAUUCAUAGAGUGUAAAGGCAUAAGGGAGCUUGACUGCGAGACCUACAAGUCGAGCAGGGUCGAAAGACGGACUUAGUGAUCCGGUGGUUCCGCAUGGAAGGGCCAUCGCUCAACGGAUAAAAGCUACCCCGGGGAUAACAGGCUUAUCUCCCCCAAGAGUUCACAUCGACGGGGAGGUUUGGCACCUCGAUGUCGGCUCAUCGCAUCCUGGGGCUGUAGUCGGUCCCAAGGGUUGGGCUGUUCGCCCAUUAAAGCGGUACGCGAGCUGGGUUCAGAACGUCGUGAGACAGUUCGGUCCCUAUCCGUCGUGGGCGUAGGAAAUUUGAGAGGAGCUGUCCUUAGUACGAGAGGACCGGGAUGGACAUACCUCUGGUGUACCAGUUGUCGUGCCAACGGCAUAGCUGGGUAGCUAUGUGUGGACGGGAUAAGUGCUGAAAGCAUCUAAGCAUGAAGCCCCCCUCAAGAUGAGAUUUCCCAACUUCGGUUAUAAGAUCCCUCAAAGAUGAUGAGGUUAAUAGGUUCGAGGUGGAAGCAUGGUGACAUGUGGAGCUGACGAAUACUAAUCGAUCGAAGACUUAAUCAA
rnacentral:rRNA from 1 species